CGCCUGUUGUCCGGUGGCGGGGUUUGGGCAUGCGGUGGGUACUCCUUCGGAUUGGCAUGGAUGCCUCCGUGCUUAGAGUGUGUUGUACCUACAGGUUCCCAGGGUUUGUCUACACUUAUCUUUAAGGCUACAACCUGGAGUCUCAUGGAGGUGUGAAGAUGAUACUAAGUAGUCUAGGACAUUGCUUUGUUAGGGGUUCGCCUAUGUACAAGAAUGACAUGUUUCUUUCCCAUGUAAUAUAUUGUGAUUUUUUUUGCUCAA